AAUUUACCAAGGGAGCCUGAUUUCGCGCCUUUCAAAAACCGGCCUCCUUCGAGUGGACUUUUGCGACUGGCGGUAAGGCACCCACCUGCACAUGCAGGUUCAAAACCUUGAACGAUGAACGGCAUUGUGGGGCAAUU
rnacentral:sRNA from 1 species